rnacentral:sRNA from 1 species
UAAAGAAGGAGUGAAGCAUUUGCAUUUUGGUCAUCCUUCUUGAGUUUCAUGUGUUCUGUGCAUCUAGGAUACGAGGCUUCUUUAACAGCCUUCUGGGCAAAUGUGUUCACACUGUACACUGACUGGCAUCUGUAGAUUUGCCCUUCUUAUAGACCAGCGUCUGAAUGCUUUAGUAUCUUUAGAGCCUACUCCUUAUGCACAGACCAAAGAACCAGCAGGACUCUUGUGCCUGAGCUUCCCACACUCUUGCCCCCUGGCAGAACUCCAUGUCUGUGUCGCCUCAGGAACUCACAUGGAGGCUGCGGUCCAUGAGCUGUAGGGAACUGCCGGGUCUUUUGAGCAAUGUUUGUUCUCAUCUCUUCCCAGCUGGACAAGGCUUUCUUGUGUCAGCAAAGCUCUAAGAACCAUAUACAAGGGCGGGAAAGCACAGGAAGCGCCAUCAUGGGCAGAGGAAAGAGGCUUCGCUUGCACAGGGGUCUCAGUCUGUAGCCCACUUGCAAGGAUGUGCAGCACAGCACCAGAGAGAUCCAUUCUGCUGUCCAGCACAAGGGGGCCAGAGUGGUCGCUACUCUCCGUCCUCUGGGUUUGCCAUUCUUGGAACAGGCUUUCUUAGACCUUCUUUCCUGCUGGGAGGCAUGUCUCACACCGAAAGAUGCUUAGCUGUCCAGUGUCUGUCCAGGCAGUGCCUCAGACCCGUUUCUUGUCCCGAUGCUGUGUGGUUGUUUUGUGUAUAAGACAGGAGGGGUCAAAACCUCAGGACACAUGGGAGGCCCAUAGGGGUAGGGACUUCCGAAGUCCUAUCUGUUGGCUGUGGGCAUGCAGUUACGGACUGUUUUAGGCACGAAUGAGAAGAUGGUGGUGAGCUUGCUCUCGAGUGGAUGCAUUUGUUGUACAGCCAGGACCUAGGAGAGCACCCAGGGCUCCUUGCCUCAGAGUGGUGCCAGGACCCCUCCCCCCUCCCCUGCAGGCUUCACACACACUCCCAGCUUCCGUGUCCGCUCUCCUUGAGUACAAGGUUUCCCCACUUACAGUCUUUCUAAGAAGUGGAACUGCUCCUUUCACAGAGGACAGAACUGAGUCCCAGACAGGACAGGACACUUUCUGGAGCCACAGGGCAUCAGGUGAUGAGCCAGGAUUGUUCCUGAGUCUGCCUCCAAAGUCUUCAUCCCCCUAACACACACACACACACACACACACACACACACACACACACACACACACACACACAUGAUGCUGGACUUUUAAGUUACAGAAUACUACACGUGCUCAAAUGAGGCCUGCUAGCUAGAAUUCCAUUGGACCAGAUGUCUGUGGGUUGUACGAUGUCCUCUGGGAGUCUACACAAGAGACAGACUUGGUUAUUCCCUGUCCUGCUGCAGCUCGCCCCUCACUGGAGGCUGCCUGCCACUCAGGACCCUUAUCCGCAUGGAUUCCCAAAGCUGGGUCUUGACUGUCAGCCUGUACUGAAGACCUCCUUGAACAUCAGGAAGAAGGCUUGCUCAGGAAUUAAAACCCAGCGUCUUUACAAUAUUAAGUGGGAAAUACAAGGUACACUGUCCUAACAGAAGGAAGACCUGGGCCCGUACCCACACAGGCUCUUACUUGUGUAAAUAAACUCUGCAACAGUCCAUUGACCAGGACAAAUCCCCGCCUGGGGUGGUUAGCCGAGGACAGGGAGGGGUACCCUCAGUUCUGGGUUUCUUUUGGGGGUGAUGAGAACACUCUGGAAUUAGACUGUGGUGGUAACCGUGCAACUCUGAAUUUUGCUGAAAGCCACAGAACUGUUCAACUUAACAACUUAAAAAAGUGAGGCUUGUAGGCAAGUCAUGCACUCUAACUAUAUGGUAUCACAAUCGAGCGAUUCCCACAUGCUUCUGUCAGCAGUAUUUCUGGGUCUCUGGCCACUGAGGUUUCCUGGAGGGGUCUGGUCUGAUGACGGGUGAGAGAAGAGCCCGAGAGUGAAGGGCCUUCAAGAGGAUGGCGGGUAUCUGUGAGCCGACAGGGAGCGCUUGCAAAAGGACUGCCCAAGUGCUCUACAGCCAAGAGUGGCCCAAACAACCCACAGUGGGUUCCUGGUGUCGCACUAGGGGCAUAAUUGAAGGCCUUAGAAGUUAGCGAUCUUCUGGAAGGAGAGGAAGAGAAGGGACAUUCUUGUCACCAGUGUAUCCUGCUGUCUGCUGGUGUCACCGGUAGUAGGGCCUGCUCUCCUGUUUUUCUUGAAUUCACCUUAUCAGAGUUGGUGCAGGCCCACAGCUGAGGAUGGGCAGGGCCUGGUAGUCUAUCCCUCUCCUCCCCCAAGACCUUGGCACUCCUCAUUCCUUUGUGGGACUUCUGCAAUCUGUCUGGACGGGUGACUUCACAAAGCCCUGGGAAUUACUGAAAGAGGUUUGCCCUAAAUAUGGGCUUUUCUGCCAACAGUUAUUUUCAGUUUUUUCGAUUAUGGUUGUACUCUCUGGUAACCACUGCAGUAUCUCAUAAAUACAGACUGAAUCACAGCCGAGCUGUCGAGCCAACCCUGGGGUGGAGACAACAUGUGGAUGCCUGGAGUCUGUCUUCUGCCCACAGCCUGGGAGUGUCAGGUCAAGCAGCCCACUGGGCAGGCCAGAGCCAGGUGGUGCCCCGAAGCCGUUAUCCUAGCCAUAAGUUAUUUCUCAUGUACUUCCUGUUCACACCUGAGGCUGCAGGAGGUGCAUGGUGAGCCUAGCAGCCCAGAUGCAGGGAUACAUUCUAUCCUGACUCUCCUGGACCUCUUAUUAUCUUCAGAGUGCUGUCCAGCAAACUUAGGAGGGCCGUUAGCCAAGGCCCUGCCUACCUCUGACUUGGAUCUCUAUAAGAAACCGAGACUCAUGUUUCCUUUACUUCUCCAUGCUGAACAUUCAAGGAUUGGUGGGAGGCAACCAUUCUCUGGCCAAGUGAGGGUCAGAAGAGUCUGGGCUCUCUCUAGUGCUUCCUAUACAUGGGAAAGGCCCAUUGAGAGUGGGCUGGGGUAGUUCAAGACCUAGGACAGGAAUCUGGGGAGGCAGGUUGGCAUGAGGAAGGUACCUGGCUCUCCGAAAUCUGCUUCCAGUUGACCUCUCAGUUAUGAGAGGAAUGGGGAGAGUCGUGGUUGGAAGAAACGCAGAGUCUGGCACCCAGAUCCCCAUUCCCCAGACAUCCGCAGGGUGCAGCAUGCAAACCAGAGUACUUGACAUAGUAUGGUCCCUUAGGUGGCAGGCAGCAGGGCUGGGACACAGGGUGUUUCCCUCGCCCUCCACCACAGUACCACAGAGUCCUGUGUCUAAUUAAACCACAUUGGAGACCGGGGAGGGGUAGGGAGGAACCCCUCUGUUACAUGCUUUUGGUUAAGUUCUUUGUCUGAGAACAGCACCCAAACUUGAGUUUUCCAGACUCACACCCUCAGAGCCACCAAAGUCCCAGCAGACACAAAGCCUGGUGGCUGACUGGAAGUCCAACUCAUAACUCAGUAGCCUCAAGGUCUGGAACAGGUCGUCUCACCUCCCUUGUGCCUCGGUUUCCCCCAUUUGUUAGCUACAGGCCUCGGGGGAUUGACUGAAGUCUCUCAAGGGUCUUGUGAAGGUCAGCUACUGUGUCCCUGGGCUGAACUGUACACAGAGAGAAGCCUGUGCUCACACAGUAGGUGUACAGGGCCAGGAAGCCAUGUUCCAGGCACUGAGAAGCUGGGUAUAGGCAUGUUUGGUCUGUCUAUGCCAAGCUGGUAGGGGCUGAGGUAACCUCUGCUGCUCCCCACUCCUCCUGAAACACCAGGGCUGGCAGCUAACUGACCCACCGACCUGCUCGAGUGGAGGGCUGUGUUGAGGCGCUCUCACGGCCUGUGGUCUUGCUCACACUUACUGCCUGUGGAUUUCACCUACGGCCUGUAGCAUUUGCACACUUUCUAUCAUAAAAGGCAUAUGUUCACUCGUUUCGAAACAAAAGUCUAAAAGCCAUUGAAGCCUCCUGUCUCCCAGACUGGUCCUCACAAGAAAGAUCCUGAUGGUGUGGUGCAGAAGCAGGAUGUGGGCCCUAAGGGGCCACGCACAGCGUGGAGUGGCCCAUGUGGUAUCUUUGGGGAGAAGUCCGCUGGCCUCAAAAACAGUAGAGGAGUUCUGCACAGAAACCACUCUGAUGACUUAAACUGCACCUAACACCAGUGCUAACACCUCCUGAUGUUCUGAUAAAGCCCACGGCCAAAAGCAUGGUGGUGAAAGGGGUUUUCAUGGCUUACCCGUCCCACUCCCAGUCCGUCAUGAAGGCAAGUCGUGGCAGAAGUUCAGCAGGAGCCAGGCAGCAGGAGCUGAAGCUGAAGUGGCAGAGGAGCACUGCUGACCAGCUCACUUAGCUUAUGUAUUCAAGCCGGGACCACUUGCCCGGCAGCAGCAGCAAGGCCUAGAGUGGGCUGGGCCUCCCAGGGCCUCCCAGACCAGUCAUCCAUCGAGAAAGGGCCCCACAGACUUGCCUCUAGGCUUGGUGGAAGCAUUGUCUCAGUUGAGCUGUCCCUCUUCCCAGAUGACUGUAGUCCCCAUCAAGCUGACAAAAAACCUAACAAGCAGCCAGGAAAAAUAAAGAAGGUGACUGAGGCUGGUCAGGGAUUGGAAGUAAGUGUUUAUGUGUUACUUUGGGUGUGGGCUGGCCUCUAGUUAGCAGUCCCCCUGCCUUCGUCUUCUGAGUGCUUCCAGUCUCCUGGUUCUUGUGUGCUACUUCUUAUGUACAGGAGGAAUAGAAGCUACAGACAGUCGGAAUCCUGUCAGCACGUGACUGCUGACAGGACUGAGAGCUGCAGCAAGAGUUAGUCUGUGUGCAUGCACACUGACUGUUUAUGCAAGGGUGCGGGUUCACCUGUAUCCUGAAAGAGUAUGUGUGCACCUGUUUAUACACAUAUGUGAAGGUUUGUGUGUGCACACAUACUCUUUUUUAAUUGUGAGCAUGUGUGAGAGCGUAUGAGAAACAGGGUAUGUGUACACGCUUGUCUCAUUGUAUGUACCCUGGGGUGUUUGUGUACCUAGAAUAACUUCACCUCAGAGUGCUAUGGCAUUGCUGUGACUCCAAGUUUGGAUAGGAAAGCCAGUAGAAGCUAGUGUGCUUUCGUUAAAAUGGAUUUUAACCAUUUUACAAUACAUUGAAAUUGAUUACUUUCUGAGGAUCCAGUUGGCUGUCAAGGGUGAGUCUUUAUGAAAGAGCAAAACCACACCUCGGUGCCCACACAGCCCUCACCCCAUUCUCAUUAGUUGGGGUGUGACACACAGUGUUUAAGUGGAAUAUGCCCAGGUUAUGACUCUAGACAGUCUCACACAUUCACGGUGGGAGCUGCAGACUCAAAACCUUCUACUAAUGUGCUAGAAAGAGUACGUGUGUGAAGGCAGAUGUGAACUUUGUACACGCAUGUCUGUGCACAGGGCUGAGCUGACCUGUCUUCUUGGUGUAGAUCUAGCUUCCACUUGGAGCCCCUUGCUACCAGUUCCAGCCAGACACUCUGAGAGUGGCUCGGAAAGCAUGCCUUACAACCUAGCUUUAGCUUUCUGGCUGUCAGUGUUCACUCCGUUGAGCCCUCUGGGCUAUGUCACCUGAUGAGAUCUAAGUAUAGUGCUGAUUGGGGGCCAAGAGUCUUUGAGGCAGUGUCAUAUCCUGCAUGGGAGGGAGGGGGCCGUGUGCAGGACUCUGUGGUGGAGCAAAGUCUUAAAGGCCACAGGGUGAGAGAGGGUACCACUCUUAGAGUGGUUCACCCACACACACACACUGUAGAGCUUUCCAAGAUGGCAGGACUUCACUAACUAAAAUGCUGGGUCCAGAACAAGUGAAGAACUGAUCUCGUCCAUCUUGCGUAUAUUCUUUGAAUACCAACUCCUUCCACGUUGCCUUAAGAGCUUGUAGCUUAUCUCUGCUUUGUACAAAAAAUAUAUGACUUUAUUAAUCAGUAUCUGACAAGGGCACGAUUGGCCCUGUUAAUGAAGCAGUGUUAGCACAUUCCUGAGAGCAGCAGAGAAGCAACCUCCUUACCAUUAAAACGCAGUGGCUAGCAGCUCUUUUUGUUUCUCUUAAUCAUGUGCUCUGAGUAAACAGGCAGGCAAGGGCCCAGGGUUAACCCUCAUGACUGCGCCUCACUGCGUACAGCUGGGCCCAGCAGUCUCAAAGGCCAUCGUAACCAAAGUGGAGACAACCGGGAAGUGACAGAAUGAAGACCAUGAGCAGGGAGUACGGCCAUAUUUAGUUUGACUAGAAUUCACAAGAGGGUAGCCAGACUCCAAGCAGUGGGGCCCGCUCGCAAGCCUUUGGUGUAACUCCCUUAUCCUCAGAGAUAGCAGACCUGGACCUGCUUAAAGAUGGAGGACGGACUAUCCUAGGAUAAGGGGCUUACCUGCAACUCACGCUCACAGGUAGAAGAGAAUAGCUGACACUUUCCGGUUUCAGCUUGUCGAAGUUUAAAGGAAGAAGCGUCAACUGAGAAAGUGAAGGUUGGACUCUCGAAGGCAUCUAAGGCUACAACACGUCAGAAUACACCAUGCAAAAGCUUUGGAGACACGGUUCACAUGCCAUGUCACCGGCCUGCCCAGAGUAUCCCUUGGCCUUGGCUGGUUGUCAGCGCCUUCCCAGAGUCAUGCAGCAUUGCCACAGCAGAAUCUAGGACCUUUUCGUGACCUACCUAAAAAGACUGUCCCCAUCAGCAGUCACCCUAACACUUCGCCUGCCCCCGAAAACCACCCAUCUACCUUCAGAUUGAAUAGGUUUUCCCAUUCUGGACAUUCUGUAUGAAUGGAACCCCACAAUCCAUGGUCUUCCUCCGCUCAGCAUGUCAUUUCCAAGGUCCGUCCGUGUGACAGCAUGUACCGGUGCUUCGCUGCUCCUCGUGAUGGGGUAAGAUGGCUGUGUGUGGAGCACUGCCUGCUGUGUUUGCUCCCUUUGGCUGUCAUAACCGUGAGCAUCUGUGUGGCCCGGUGCACUUAGGAGAGCUCAGUGAUCGUCGGUCACAGAAGACCGCGGCAGGCUCACUCCCAGAGAGGGAUUUACUGCUCACCUGCAGCCAGCUUGUUCCCUUUCCCUGCUUAGUUGCUAAGGCUAGAAGAGUAAGGAGAGGCGCUGCCAACCUGCUCCUGACCUGCUGGGGGCCUUGUGAGUGCCCCCUCCGGCUAGAGGCCAGGUAUUCCUCGGCCAUGUCAGGAGGCAUCAGCUCAGGUCACUUUGUCCAGAAAACAGAGAAGGCUGAGGAAAACGAAGCUGCUUGACCACUAACAUACUUUCAAAGUCCACAAGAAACACAAGGCAGGAACUUCGAGGCAGCGCCCACCCCCACUGACAUAACCCCACCAUCAACCACACGCGUGCACACUUGGCCCCGGGUGGGCGUCCACAUCGACUCGCCAGCUAAAAGGCUUCACUUGCAGGUUUCACUCAUUUUGUUUUCCCUUCUUCACUAAUUAAAAUUUUAUAGAAACUGUUAUGGCCACUUUGAAACAGAAGAAUCAUUGUGACUGGUUUUGCUGAAUUUAGCUGAUUGUGGUCUGGAAGGCAGGGAGCGCUGGGGCCAAAGGAAUGUUGUGCAGGCAUAAAUGGCGGGUCUCCGGUCUCCGUGCACAGAAGACAGAAGACAAAGCCUCUGGGAGAGAGCGGCUGGCUGUGGGUUGCACUGAGCUUAGGUUUGGGUGCAUUCUAUGGGACAGGCCUCCCUCCCUCGCUGGCCUGAACCCUCAGGAAAUCUCCCCAGCCCUGGGAACCGUCUGGCACCAGGGGACCUGAUGUGCAGUUUUAGAGCAGCUGGAAAAAUAGACAUAUGUUCCUGCUCCGCCUGAGUGGCAUUUCCUGACCUGUGCUUGCUGCUCAUUUGAAAUAACCUGACUGUUGUCUUGUUCCUCGCCGUCUCUCACUGUGCUAGACUCUUCCUGCCCUUCGGAAGCCUAAUUCAAAGGACGCAGGUUCCCCACUCAUAGCCUCCUUUUGGAUUAUGCUUUUACCAGGCUUCAUGGGCGUCCCACAGUGGAGAACAGACUGCCUGCCAGCAGGCCCUAUGUGAGGUCCAAGCGCUCUCCGUCCCGUGAGCUGAGGCAGCCGGGAGGAAGGCUAAGGACUGAGUUCUGACCAGCUGGCCUGUAGCUCACAGCUUCUUAGAAGCAUGUGCAGCUUCAGUCGGAUGGACAGCCCUGUGCCCAGAACUGAAAGAUAAAAUGGAAAUAUCAAUUUAAAAAGCCUCCAGAAACAUUGAUCCAAAUAAUAGGUCAUGAGUUUUCAAUCACUCCGAAGUGCUGUGAACGCGCCUCGUGAUAACCUCAUGAACGACUCACCUCCCAGAUGACCUCUAGGUAAUUAUUACACACACAAAAGGGUUAAAUCAGCUUCCUCCAUCACCAGCGAAAGCCAUUCUACAUUCAUCUUCAGAACCAGCCCCCUAACAUACAAAGUGCUUUUCCUGUGCGUUUUCAGCUAUUGUCGGAGGGAACGUCAGAGUUCAGGUGGUGUCAGAACGAGGGAAGAUGGACUCCUUAGGCAUUGACAAGCAAGGGCUUUCUUUUAAAAACAAUUUUGUUUGUUUUCUUCUGCACAAGAGAGUCCGCCCACUUCCAAAAAUGAUUCCCCGAUCCGGGUGCCCGCCCCUCCCUGUAUCUCUGUGGGUUGAGGCUGUAUUGUCAGUGACAGUGGGAGGGGGCACUGAGAACUAGCGGGAGGGUUAGGUGCAGAUCGGAGACAGUGGACAGGGUCACAGGGGCAAAGGCAGUGAGGAGGCCUGGGACAGCCGACACCCAGGGAAGCUGCAGAGGGAGCGGCGUGGUUGUGCGUGGGGCCAGGAGAAACUCGGGUCUGCGGGACAGCUCUUCCCUCACACAGAGUGGCUCGAGCACGCAGAGAUACUGACCACCGUGGGUCACAUAGGAAGACCCUAAGUUUCCCAGGGUGCCCUGAACAUCUGCAGUCUCUGAGAGGUUCCACUUUCCCAGUUGCUGUGAGAUCCAUAGGCCGUGUCCUCACUCAUCAUCUGGCAGUCUCUGCGAAGGCCUGGGGCUACAGAAGGUAUCCUAACAAAUCACGGUGGUAAAGACAUCUAGAAGGCUGGGCAUUUGUGGGGGUGAGGGAGUUGCCAAUUGCAGCUCUCUGGAGCUCUCCUAGAUAUGCCUCUCACCCCUUCCUUGUGGAAUUUCAGUCCCCCCAGAGGACAGAACACUGUGGAGAGCUUUUCCUUUUUGUAGAGGAAGCCAUGUUAUUGCCCUUCAACCAUUCCCCCAUGGCGAAGGGGACAGGCACAGAGAAGAGCAGCUGGGAGGUGGGAGCUCAGUUGCAGUGACGUGUGAUCAGGCCAGAUGGCCGUGAACACGGGCCCCUUAGAUCUGGGGGAAAGGCACCAAGUUUGCAAAGCCAAACCGAAGUAGGCCCUGUCUAUCCAGUGGCUCGGAACUGACUCUGCUGGUUGGAGGAAAUUGUAUUGAAACCAAUACAGCUAUAAGGAACACCCUUUCCCCCAAAGGCUAUCACCUCGAGGAUUCCCAUGGAUAUAGUCCAUGUCCCAAGAAUGACCAGACUCACCCUCUUGCCGUUGGUUGGUUUUUUGUUGUUGUUUUGUUUUUUGGGGUUUUGUUGGUUUGGGGUUUGUUUGUUUUUUAAGGGACAAAUCGUAACUGGUCAAACUGAACAAACAAAAAAAGGAAGUCACUUUCCCCUACCGGCCGCUGGUCACCUGUGUGUGCAUAUGCAUGUUUGUAUGGGUGUGCCCUAUUCUCCAGGGCCUGUGAGGCUGAUCUAAGUGACUGAUGUUCUGCCUGUGGCCCGGGGUCUGCACUCAUGGCCCAGGGUUCAGUUCAUCCCAGUGUCCACGCAGCACAGCUGCUGGUGCCAGUGAGGCUCCGCCCUCUUCAGCUCUCAUUCUUUGUGUGUCAGUGUGAGCGUGUGAGCAUGGGCAGGCAGUGGGAGAGGCCCCUCUGGGACUGCUUGUGCUUUCUUCUUUCCAAUCCCACAGAUGUCCACACCCACUCACUUUGGGUCAAGUCAGCUGCCCCUGUGCUCUCCACGGAGGCCAGGACCAGGUGGGACGGGAGAGGAUCAGGUGCUUGUCAUGGCGUCUGGAGCCUUUUCGUUUCUCGUUUUAAAAAGAAUGGGGAGUGUACAGUAUGGUUGAUACUUGUUUGAGAAUUAAGUUGGGUUGAGAUGGAAAAGCCUGCCUGUGUUCUAGACAUCCAUCUUCAAGUGGAGACAGAGAAAGCCUGAAUGACAGGCACAUACUCAUGUGCUUUGAAAAGGUGGCUUCUGGUUCCUGGCCCCUGUCCUUUAAUGGUGCCUCUAUCCUCUUGGGCCCGCCUCUGUUCUGUGGAUGCUCUGUCUGUGAAGCCUGCCUGUCCAUCUCUGUGCUUUGUCCUGCCCACACCCUGCCUGGGGUUCUCUACUCUUCCACACUGGGGAUUAUUCCUAAUCACAGACCCUCAGCAUAGAGCUUCUCCCACUUUGGAUUAUUCCUAAUCACAGACCCUCAGCAUAGAGCUUCUCCCCCUUUGGAUUAUUCCUAAUCACAGACCCUCAGCAUAGAGCUUCUCCCCCUUUGGAUUAUUCCUAAUCACAGACCCUCAGUAUAGAGCUUCUCCCCCUUUGGAUUAUUCCUAAUCACAGACCCUCAGCAUAGAGCUUCUCCCCCUUUGGAUUAUUCCUAAUCACAGACCCUCAGCAUAGAGCUUCUCCCCCUUUGGAUUAUUCCUAAUCACAGACCCUCAGCAUAGAGCUUCUCCCCCUUUGGAAGCACCCCCUCACCCAGCUCCCUCUUAGACCCACUAACCACUGGGCAGAGGACAGCAGGGCAUUCAUACCCAUGAUGCUGUGAUUGACGCACACUUGAGAAUAUUGGGUCUAGAGAGGCUGCCUGGAGGAUCUCCCACCGACUAUGAGUAGUAGGCCUACGGCCCAGCUUAGUUAGCAGCCUCAAUCCUGCUUCUGCGAGCAGGUCACCCACAGGCAUGGACUGGGUGAUCAUGCAUGUUCUCUAUGGCCAGGAUGACAGAGGUGUUUGUUAGGUGCCCACCCAGAGGGACUGAAGAGGUUGGCAGUAUUACAUCCCUGUAGCACAGCAGAGUAGGCUCUGUCUGACAAAGAGAGCCAUGACCACAAAAUGCACAAGAACACUGACAAGUACCCAUGGUGCUCUCAACUGAAUUGUAUCCCUCAGAUCCAUAUGCUAAAGCCCCAACCAACUGUGGGCUCACUGGGGAGAAAAAACUAAGGCUAAACGGAGUUGAAGGGUAGAGCCCCGAUCCAAAGUUUGUAAUGGAAAAUGUUAACACCAGGCUGUCAAUAACGGGUAGGAUUACUGGACAUUUCCUGUUUUGUUCUGUCUAGCCUGUUCGCCAUUGUGUCAAACUGUGAGGCUGGGUCCUGAGGUCACAUUGCAGCCUCUGGCCUCAGUCUCCCUUCUGUCAGAAGAUGCCAGCCACAAACUCUGCAAGAACAAUGAGGAACUGGAUGGGUCACUCUCACAAGCCCCUAGGAGCUUUGCUGGAAAGGGGCUUGGCCAUGACCUUGCUUAAGUACAAUGUACAAAGUGCCAGGUACAGACCUAGGGUUUUGCAGAAGCCCCAUAGGCCACAUAAAUAACAUAGUUUCAAGCCAUGGUUGUCAUAACUCAGCUUAGACAUAGCAAACAGUUCCCCGGGCCAGCAGACUCCAGUGCACUAGAAAGUGGCUCUUAGAGGCUGGGAGCAUGGCAGCAGUGUGCAUGCUGGGAAUCUUGAAUCCACAGAGAACUCUGAGUGAUAGACCCAAGACAGCACGCUGCCUUCUGUGCGCAUGUGGUAUGAGCUUCAGUAACCCACCAGAGCCCUCACCCCAAAACUCAGGGGUUGCUUCCUUUCUGCAAAGAAAGCACUGUCAGCAUUUGGUAUUCUUUUUACUUUCAAGAAAAAGUUGUUUGAAGAACCUUAUUUAAUGGGGGGCGGGUCACCGAUUUCUGCUUUCCUCUCUGGGGUCCAGCUGCCCUGCCCUGUGGCUGUGGCCUAUUCCCACAGGUUGUUUCAGCACCAGA